rnacentral:lncRNA from 1 species
UUAAAUAUAAAAGUACAAGACAUGCUCGAACCUAAAACGAAAGAGGACGAACUCUUGUAAGGAAACAAAAGCAACUAGGCCUAAACCAAAGUAAAACAUACUAGUCUAAGAGAAGCAAGAUAAACUCUUCAAACGAAGCACCUGCGACUGAGAUUUACCAAGGAUGCCCACGGCCAAUCCGAAGAUAACAUCUACCACCUCCUAUCAUGAUGAGAGCUGAUCUCUCGAAACCAUAACCAAGAACUUCAUAACCCGGCAAGCAAAGACCACUUGAAGAAACUCGAACACGCUUCCGGAUGCGACGACGACGACUGCUGCGCCCAAUUACGUCUAAAUAAAAGCCUUCAAAACGCUAUCAGAUCUAAACAGAUCUGCAAAGCAUGUACAAGGAGCGAAGCAUAGCCUCUCGACUAAACCCAAACUCGAAAGAGCACGAAGAUGGAACGAGACCGCUAUCAACAACAGCGAACAAACCAAUGAAGAGCCAACUGCUCACAUAUAAGACUAGCAAUUCUUCAAUCAACACGAAGCCUAUGCUUAGUAAGAGAACGAACCAUCUGAGAAACAAGGGUUGAGAAGAGGAGAAAAUGGACGCAGGGACAAGCAAAGGUUGGGCCAAAACUCAACAACCACAACCACUCAAACUCAACGGCAUAAAGAAGAAGAUAACCACAAGAACAGCAACAAAGAUCUAGGGCAAGAGCAAGCAAAACACAAUGGCAUUAUUAUUCAAGCAGUACCGUCAAUCAAGAAGACCCGGAACCAUCAUCUUUACAUUGAACCCCAACCCAAAAGAUCACGCCAAUUCAACCGCAACAACAACACACAUCAACUCAAAACUCCAAACAAACCACAAGGUUCCCCAAUCGUAGGCCAAGAUUCUGCAAACACCACUAACCAUAUAACCCUAUCUUGAAAACAAACAAAAUCGAAUCCAUCUAACUCUAGAAACUCGGAGAAGAGGACCGGCGAGAAGACUCGCUUACCGGACAAGAGAAAUGAGACCACGGUCAAAGAUUCAUGAGAAACCAAAUCACAAGAAUCUCAAAGGAACCAAAUCUUACAAGGGAAAAGCAUCCAAGAGAGCUACUUGGAAGCCUAACAACUUCUCUCAAGGGAGAAGCUUGCCGCCGACGAAGUCAACAAGCCUCGGCGUAAAGAUCUCAUUUCUCAGCCACGAAGAAGCUCUUCACCAACGAAAUCUAGGGGCUAAGCGAAUCGAAGGAAGAAAACAACAACCAAUGCGAAGCUAAAGAGCUCUCUCACGGCGACGGCGAUAGGCGCCGGCCACCGGAGAGGGCAAACGCGGAUCUGAAAAAGUUGAGUGGCGGCUGGUUUUUGGAGAGCUUUU